rnacentral:misc_RNA from 1 species
AGGCAUUGCAUUUGAACUAUCCUAAGCUUCUAAAUCAAUUUUUGUUACUUGCUUGUCUGGCUUAAAAUUAGUAUAAAAGGUUAAUAUAAUAAUAUUAAGGUUCUAUAUUUUCACAGUAUAUCAUUACUAACAACAAUAAGCUGUGACCUUAUUUGAGUUACGUAGAAUUUUAUCAAGAAAAUGCAGAAAUCAGUGAGACAGUU